GACAGAGGGUGCAAACGUUGUUCGGAAUCACUGGGCAUAAAGCGCACGUAGGCGGUCGAGUAAGUCAGGUGUGAAAGCCCCCGGCUCAACCGGGGAAUUGCACUUGAUACUGUUCGACUCGAGGACGGUAGGGGUGAGUGGAACUCCAGGUGGAGCGGUGAAAUGCGUAGAUAUCUGGAGGAACACCGGUGGCGAAAGCGGCUCACUGGACCGUAACUGACGCUGAGGUGCGAAAGCUAGGGUAGCAAACGGG
rnacentral:rRNA from 1 species